rnacentral:tRNA from 1 species
GCCCCUGUGGUGAAACGGAUAUCACGGCAGUCUUCGGAACUGCUAUUGAGGGUUCGAAUCCUUCCGGGGGCA